rnacentral:rRNA from 1 species
GACGAACGCUGGCGGCGUGCUUAACACAUGCAAGUCGAACGGAAAGGCCCCUUUGGGGGUACUCGAGUGGCGAACGGGUGAGUAACACGUGAGUAACCUGCCCUUGUCUUCGGGAUAACUUCAGGAAACUGGGGCCAAUACCGGAUAGGAAUCCUUGCUGCAUGGUGGGGGUUGGAAAGCUUCGGCGGUUUUGGAUGGACUCGCGGCUUAUCAGCUUGUUGGUGGGGUAGUGGCUUACCAAGGCUUUGACGGGUAGCCGGCCUGAGAGGGCGACCGGCCACAUUGGGACUGAGAUGAGGCCCAGACUCCUACGGGAGGCAGCAGUGGGGAAUAUUGCACAAGGGGCGGAAGCCUGAUGCAGCAACGCCGCGUGCGGGAUGACGGCCUUCGGGUUGUAAACCGCUUUCAGCAGGAGCGAAGCUUGUGGUGACGGUACCUGCAGAAGAAGCACCGGCUAACUACGUG